CAGUCGCCGCGGUAAUACGUAGGGUGCAAGCGUUAAUCGGAAUUACUGGGCGUAAAGUGUGCGCAGGCGGUUAUAUAAGACAGAUGUGAAAUCCCCGGGCUCAACCUGGGAACUGCAUUUGUGACUGUAUAGCUAGAGUACGGCAGAGGGGGAUGGAAUUCCGCGUGUAGCAGUGAAAUGCGUAGAUAUGCGGAGGGACACCGAUGGCGAAGGCAAUCCCCUGGGCCUGUACUGACGCUCAUGCACGAAAGCGUGGGGAGCAAACAGGAUUAGAUACCCCCGUAGUCCCUGUCUCUUAUAC
rnacentral:rRNA from 1 species